rnacentral:rRNA from 1 species
AUUGAACGCUGGCGGCAUGCCUUACACAUGCAAGUCGAACGGUAACAGGUCUUCGGAUGCUGGCGAGUGGCGAACGGGUGAGUAAUACAUCGGAACGUGCCCGAGAGUGGGGGAUAACGAGGCGAAAGCUUUGCUAAUACCGCAUACGAUCUCAGGAUGAAAGUAGGGGACCGCAAGGCCCUGCGCUCACGGAGCGGCCGAUGGCAGAUUAGGUAGUUGGUGGGAUAAAAGCUUACCAAGCCGACGAUCUGUAGCUGGUCUGAGAGGAAGACCAGCCACACGGGGACUGAGACACGGCCCAGACACCUACGGGAGGCAGCAGUGGGGAAUUUUGGACAAUGGGCGCAAGCCUGAUCCAGCCAUGCCGCGUGCAGGAUGAAGGCCUUCGGGUUGUAAACUGCUUUUGUACGGAACGAAAAGACUCCUUCUAAUAAAGGGGGUCCAUGACGGUACCGUAAGAAUAAGCACCGGCUAACUACGUGCCAGCAGCCGCCGUAAAAC